rnacentral:rRNA from 1 species
AAGACUAGUGUUAUUCAUCUUUAAUAGGUUUAAAGCGUACCUAGACAGUAAAUCAAGCCUGCGAGGGGACUAGUUUACUAGAGUUACUUGUGAGGGGGUAUUAAAGUACUAAUGGUGUAGAGAUGAAAUUCUGUCAUACCCCUUUUUCUAGAAGAAAAAAUUAUGGCACAGGUAUAGGCGAAAGCAUCCCCUUAUGUGAUAACUGACGUUGAAGGACGAAGGCUUUGUGUCGCGAACAGGAUUAGAUACCCCAGUAGUCAAAGCAGAAAAUGAUGAAUGUCAUAGAUUAGGCAUAUAAUAGCUUAUUCUAUAAAUGAAAGUGUAAGCAUUCCACCUCAAGAGUAAUUUGGCAACAUUGGAACUGAAAUCAUUAGACCGUUUCUGAAACCAGUAGUGAAGUAUGUUGUUUAAUUUGAUAAUCCGCAAAAAACCUUACCACAACUUGAAUAUUUAUGUUUAU